rnacentral:rRNA from 1 species
AUACGGAGGGUGCAAGCGUUAUUCGGAAUCACUGGGCGUAAAGGGUGCGUAGGCGGUUUGAUAAGUCUGAUGUGAAAUCCUAUGGCUCAACCAUAGAACUGCAUUGGAAACUGUCAGACUAGAAUACUGAAGGGGCAGAUGGAAUUAGUGGUGUAGGGGUAAAAUCCGUAGAUAUCGCUAGGAAUACCGAAAGCGAAAGCGAUCUGCUGGGAAGUUAUUGACGCUGAGGCACGAAAGCGUGGGGAGCAAACGGGAUUAGAAACCCUUGUAGUCC